UUUGGGUGGUUUGUUAGCAAACAGCAGAAGAAAACUGUAGUCUUGGCAGAAAGAGACUGUCUGAGAAAGAAGUUUCCACAACUCGAGCUGACCAAGGAAACCAAGUGAGGAAGAGGCAGAAAUAGAGAUAUUUUCAAAGAUGUUUGUGGCAGGACAACUCAGAGGCCUUAUCAUUUAUCUCUUCUUUGUGACAAUUUCAAAGAGACUAUAUGAAGAUGAAAUUAAAGGAAUAGGAAGGGACAAAGUCAACAACAAUGUAGACGACAAGAAGAGCCAGUGGGUGGAGGCAAAACGUAUCAGUUUGCUUGCUGUGGUGAAAUGCAGCUUCCAAGUCAUGGAGAAGAGGUAGAAGGAAGAACGUUCCUAGGCUGAAAUGUUGCGACAGCAGAGAUAGAGGGUUCAUUGUCUGUUUUUCUUUCUUGUGCUCUGGCUUAAAAUAGAAACCCUACCUUUGUUGUUUCCCAGUUUUCUUCUUUCAUAAAG